UACGUAGGGUGCGAGCGUUAAUCGGAAUUACUGGGCGUAAAGCGUGCGUAGGCGGUUCGUUGUGUCUGUGGUGAAAGCCCCGGGCUUAACCUGGGAAUGGCCAUGGAAACUGGCGAGCUGGAGUGUGGCAGAGGGGGGUGGAAUUCCGCGUGUAGCAGUGAAAUGCGUAGAGAUGCGGAGGAACACCGAUGGCGAAGGCAGCCCCCUGGGCUAACACUGACGCUGAGAAGCGAAAGCGUGGGGAGCGAACAGG
rnacentral:rRNA from 1 species